UGGGUUUUCUUUUCACUUUAUUAACAGUGUCCUUUGAAGUGCAGGAGAUUUUAAUUUUAUAAAGUACAAUUUAUCUAUUGCUGCUUGUGUUUUUGGCAUCAUAUCUAAGAAAACAUUGCUUAAUCCAAGGUCACAAAUAUCUCCUCUGUUUUCUUCCAAACGUUUUAAGUUUUAACCGUUACAUUCAGAUCUUUGACUCAUGUUGAGUUAG
rnacentral:lncRNA from 1 species